ACGUAGGUGGCAAGCGUUGUCCGGAUUUAUUGGGCGUAAAGCGAACGCAGGCGGAAGAAUAAGUCAAAUGUGAAAGCCCUCGGCUUAACCGGGGAAUAGCAUCGGAAACUGUUUUACUUGAGUGCAGAAGAGGAGAGUGGAACUCCAUGUGUAGCGGUGAAAUGCGUAGAUAUAUGGAAGAACACCAGUGGCGAAGGCGGCUCUCUGGUCUGUAACUGACGCUGAGGUUCGAAAGCAUGGGUAGCGAACAGG
rnacentral:rRNA from 1 species